rnacentral:rRNA from 1 species
CGGAGGGUGCAAGCGUUAUCCGGAUUCACUGGGUUUAAAGGGUGCGUAGGUGGGCAAGUAAGUCAGUGGUGAAAUCUCCGGGCUUAACCCGGAAACUGCCAUUGAUACUAUUUGUCUUGAAUACUGUGGAGGUCAGCGGAAUAUGUCAUGUAGCGGUGAAAUGCUUAGAUAUGACAUAGAACACCAAUUGCGAAGGCAGCUGGCUACACAAAUAUUGACACUGAGGCACGAAAGCGUGGGGAUCAAACAGGAUUAGAUGCCCUGGUAGUCCACGCCCUAAACUAUGGAUACUCGACAUUUGCGAUAAACUGCAAGUGUCUGAGCGAAAGCAUUAAGUAUCCCACCUGGGAAGUACGAUCGCAAGAUUG